AGAGUUUGAUCCUGGCUCAGGACGAACGCUGGCGGCGUGCUUAACACAUGCAAGUCGAACGCUGAAGCUCAGCUUUUGUUGGGUGGAUGAGUGGCGAACGGGUGAGUAACACGUGAGUAACCUGCCCUCUUCUUUGGGAUAACGCCCGGAAACGGGUGCUAAUACUGGAUAUUCACUGAUCUUCGCAUGGGGGUUGGUGGAAAGGUUUGUUCUGGUGGGGGAUGGGCUCGCGGCCUAUCAGCUUGUUGGUGGGGUGAUGGCCUACCAAGGCGGUGACGGGUAGCCGGCCUGAGAGGGUGGACGGUCACACUGGGACUGAGACACGGCCCAGACUCCUACGGGAGGCAGCAGUGGGGAAUAUUGCACAAUGGGCGCAAGCCUGAUGCAGCGACGCCGCGUGAGGGAUGACGGCCUUCGGGUUGUAAACCUCUGUUAGCAGGGAAGAAGAGAGAUUGACGGUACCUGCAGAGAAAGCGCCGGCUAACUACGUGCCAGCAGCCGCGGUAAUACGUAGGGCGCGAGCGUUGUCCGGAAUUAUUGGGCGUAAAGAGCUCGUAGGCGGCUGGUCGCGUCUGUCGUGAAAUCCUCUGGCUUAACUGGGGGCUUGCGGUGGGUACGGGCCGGCUUGAGUGCGGUAGGGGAGACUGGAACUCCUGGUGUAGCGGUGGAAUGCGCAGAUAUCAGGAAGAACACCGGUGGCGAAGGCGGGUCUCUGGGCCGUUACUGACGCUGAGGAGCGAAAGCGUGGGGAGCGAACAGGAUUAGAUACCCUGGUAGUCCACGC
rnacentral:rRNA from 1 species